GACGAACGCUGGCGGCGUGCUUAACACAUGCAAGUCGAACGGUAAGGCCCUUCGGGGUACACGAGUGGCGAACGGGUGAGUAACACGUGGGUGAUCUGCCCUGCACUUCGGGAUAAGCCUGGGAAACUGGGUCUAAUACCGGAUAGGGCCACUGCCUGCAUGGGUGGUGGUGGAAAGCUUUUGCGGUGUGGGAUGGGCCCGCGGCCUAUCAGCUUGUUGGUGGGGUGAUGGCCUACCAAGGCGACGACGGGUAGCCGGCCUGAGGGGGUGACCGGCCACACUGGGGCUGAGAUACGGCCCAGACUCCUACGGGAGGCAGCAGUGGGGAAUAUUGCACAAUGGGCGCAAGCCUGAUGCAGCGACGCCGCGUGAGGGAUGACGGCCUUCGGGUUGUAAACCUCUUUCAGCACCGACGAAGCGCAAGUGACGGUAGGUGCAGAAGAAGGACCGGCCAACUACGUGCCAGCAGCCGCGGUAA
rnacentral:rRNA from 1 species